rnacentral:rRNA from 1 species
AACGCGAAAGGGGGCUUCGGCUCCCGAGUACCUUGGCGCACGGGUGAGUAACGCGUGGAUAAUCUGCCCUCUUGUUCGGGAUAACUGCUGGAAACGGCAGCUAAUUUCGGAUAAGCUCCACCAAUUGUAUGGUGGAGGAAAGGAGGCCUCUUCAUGAAAGCUUCCGCGAGGGGAUGAGUCCGCGUCCCAUUAGCUAGUUGGUGAGGUAACGGCCCACCAAGGCAACGAUGGGUAGCCGGUCUAAGAGGAUGACCGGCCACACUGGAACUGAAACACGGUCCAGACUCCUACGGGAGGCAGCAGUGGGGAAUAUUGCGCAAUGGACGAAAGUCUUAUGCAGCGACGCCGCGUGAGGGAUGAAGGUUUUCGGAUCGUAAACCUCUGUCAGGAGGGAAAAAAGCGCAUGGCGCCAAUCAGCCAUGCGUUAACAGUACCUCCAAAGGAAGCGCCGGCUAACUCCGUGCCAGCAGCCGCGGUAAUACGGAGGGCGCGAGCGUUAAUCGGAAUUACUGGGCGUAAAGCGCGCGUAGGCUGUUGUGUAAGUUGGGGGUGAAAUCCCACGGCUCAACCGUGGAACAGCCCUUGAUACUGCGCGACUUGAAUCCGGGAGAGGGUGGCGGAAUUCCAGGUGUAGGAGUGAAAUCCGUUUUUAUGGGGAGGAACAUCAGUGGCGAAGGCGGCCACCUGGACCGGUA